AAAUGAGCAACUUUCCAAAUAUGGAAAUACCAAAUCUGCUAGAGCAAUCAUGUUGGUGGAGCUUAAAAAAUUAAUUGAAGCAAAUCCUUUAUUCCGUGAUAAAUUGCAAUUCCCAAACCUUAAAAAUUCAAGGUUACGGACUCUCAUCAACCAAAAGUAACUCAUUUAAAGAUGCUUUAGUCUUCUCACCAACAAACCUUACUUCUUGUUGGUACCAAUGUUGGGGACAUUGGGUUGUGGGAAGUUGGUUCUAGGGAGCGGUUAGUUUUGAGGAAUUUCAAAGUUUGGGAUCUCAGUGCAUGUUCAAUGCCUCUGCAGGCAGCUCUGGUUAAAGAUCCUGGUGUAUCUAUUAAUCGUGUGAUUUGGAGCCCUAACGGUUCUUUGUUUGGAGUUGCAUAGUCCAGGCACAUCGUUCAAAUAUAUUCUUAUCAUGGGAAUGAAAAUAUACAGUAGCACCUGGAGAUUGAUGCUCAUGUUGGCGAAGUAAAUGACAUCGCAUUCUCCCACCCAAACAAGCAACUUUGUCUGAUAACCUGUGGUGACGAUAAGACCAUCAAGGUGUGGGAUGGCACUACUGGUGCAAAGCAGUAUACGUUUGAAGGUCAUGAGGCUCCUGUUUAUUCUGUCUGUCCUCACUAUAAGGAAAACAUUCAGUUUAUCUUUUCAACUGCACUGGAUGGAAAGAUAAAAGCAUGGUUGUAUGACAACUUGGGAUCUCGAGUUGAUUAUGAUGCUCCUGGUCGCUGGUGCACGACAAUGGCUUACAAUGCAGAUGGUACCAGG